rnacentral:rRNA from 1 species
CCUAUCAGUGAUAGAGACCGAUGUCGAGUUUACUCCCUAUCAGUGAUACCGCCUGUUUAUCAAAAACAUGUCCUCUCGGCGUGAAUUUGAGGUCUGACCUGCCCACUGAAUUAAUUUGAAGGGCCGCGGUAUUUUGACCGUGCAAAGGUAGCAUAAUCAUUAGUCUUUUAAUUGAAGGCUAGAAUGAAUGGUUGGACGAGGUGCUGGCUGUCUCACGACAAUUGAGAAUGGAAUUUAACUUUUAAGUCAAAAGGCUUAAAUGGGGUUAAAGGACGAGAAGACCCUAUAGAGCUUUAUAUUAUGCUGUUUAUUAAAUAUGUAGGUGUUUUGUUUUAAUAGGUAAAUUAAUAUUUUAUUGGGGUGAUAGGAAGAUAAAAUAAACUCUUCUUGUAAUUAAGACCAUUGAUGUAUGGGUUGAUGAUCCGUUAAUAACGAUUAUAAGAUUAAGUUACCUUAGGGAUAACAGCGUAAUCUUUUUUGAGAGUUCUUAUCGACAAAAAGGGUUGCGACCUCGAUGUUGGAUUAAGGUUAAUUUUGGGUGUAGAUGUUCAAAAUUUAGG